GAUGAACGCUGGCGGCGUGCCUAAUACAUGCAAGUCGAGCGAACGGACGAGAAGCUUGCUUUUCUGAUGUUAGCGGCGGACGGGUGAGUAACACGUGGAUAACCUACCUAUAAGACUGGGAUAACUUCGGGAAACCGGAGCUAAUACCGGAUAAUAUUUUGAACCGCAUGGUUCAAAAGUGAAAGACGGUCUUGCUGUCACUUAUAGAUGGAUCCGCGCUGCAUUAGCUAGUUGGUAAGGUAACGGCUUACCAAGGCAACGAUGCGUAGCCGACCUGAGAGGGUGAUCGGCCACACUGGAAAUGAGACACGGUCCAGACUCCUAAGGGAGGCAGCAGUAGGGAAUCUUCCGCAAUGGGCGAAAGCCUGACGGAGCAACGCCGCGUGAGUGAUGAAGGUCUUCGGAUCGUAAAACUCCGUUAUUAGGGAAGAACAUAUGUGUAAGUAACUGUGCACAUCUUGACGGUACCUAAUCAGAAAGCCACGGCUAACUACGUG
rnacentral:rRNA from 1 species